UAUAUGUUUGAACGUAACUCUUUAAAUGUCCUUCAUACUCAUUAAUUCUACCAAUUUUCAUAAAAGACGAAUCAAAACUUUUUCAUUUAUAAACAGUAUGGAACUAAUGAUAACAUAGGAACUUACGAUCCAACAAGGAAUUCAUCUAAUGAUAUUCAUUUGCUGGAGUUUAUUCCACAUUACAUUUGAAUAAUAAAAUGGGCCAAAGUCUAAGGGAGUUGAGACGAGGCCAGAAAGUCACAAAUGAAGAGCAAUCUCUGAAAACAUCUUUAAAAGUUGUAUAUGAAUAAAAUUAAUAAAAUAAAAACAGAUUUUUUUCACCGCUUAUCCAAAGAAACUUUCAUUUGCAUUGCUUUUAUAUGUUUUUACAUAAAGGACUAAAUCUUGGGAGCUUGUCUAUAUUCAGAAACUGGGCUACAUAGCCUUUCUGACAUUCUCUUGAUUUGGAUUGGUUUAAGGAUGUUUAUGUUAAUUUAACAGAUUUUAUUAAAAUGAGAUUUCUAGUCAUUAUUAAACGCAUUCAGAACCGCAGCCAGGGUGGCUAUGAGGUGACUAAGCUUUUUCAGCUUAGUCAGCAGUGCCCACAUGCAGUAUUGCUUUCGCUUUCAUCACAUAAACUUAGGCUACUGUUUCGUCUGUAACUAAUAGACAUAGUGUUGAGUGGAAAAGAAAAAAUUCCAGAAUUUUUUCAGUUUGCUCCUUUCGACCCUAGUGAACUAUUCCUGGCUACAGGACUGAAUGCAUUGAUAAUUUCUGCGUAGAAAAACAGAAUCGAACUACAAAUCCAAAAAUAUAUGGUAUUAAUAAGCAUACGAAAUCAGAAAAAUAUUGAGCAUGUUUAAUUAUUUUAAUUUAAUUGAGUUUUUUUUAUCUAACUAAA